rnacentral:lncRNA from 10 species
AGACUUGUAAAAGAACAAAUGCCACAGAAAAUGAGGUUAAAGGACACAAACUCAUGGAUGCUAACACCCACGGGGACCUUGGAAGCCACGGGUAGAAACAGCAAAGCCUCCAUCAACCUGAUUCCUAAAUAAUUAUGUAGUGCAGAGCCCUCCACUGCUGCCACCUCACUAACUUAGAGUCAUCUGGACCUGUCUGUAAGAGUGAGAAAUCAACUUCUAUUGUGUUAGGGUCAUUAUACACUGUGGAAUCUAUUUGUUACAGCAGUUAGCCACCCCUAACUAAUACAGAUAAGAAAAUACAGACUAACAGCGGAUCUCUCGGCAGAAACCCUACAAGCCAGAAGAGAGUGGGGGCCAAUAUUCAACAUUCUUAAAGAAAAGAAUUUUCAACCCAGAAU